rnacentral:tRNA from 2 species
GAAGUAGCUCAGCUUGGUAGAGCACUUGGUUUGGGACCAAGGGGUCGCAGGUUCAAAUCCUGUCUUCC